AGUCGUACGAGAAAUCCCGAGCUUGCUUGGGAGAGUAAAGUGGCGCACGGGUGAGUAACGCGUGGGUAACCCACCUUCGAAUCUGGGAUAACUCCGCGAAAGCGGUGCUAAUACCGGAUAAGACCACAGCCGUUUCGGCGGCAGAGGUAAAAGCUGACCUCUCCAUGGAAGUUAGCGUUCGAGGACGGGCCCGCGUCCUAUCAGCUUGUUGGUGGGGUAAAGGCCUACCAAGGCAGCGACGGGUAGCUGGUCUGAGAGGAUGAUCAGCCACACUGGAACUGGAACACGGUCCAGACUCCUACGGGAGGCAGCAGUGAGGAAUUUUGCGCAAUGGGGGAAACCCUGACGCAGCAACGCCGCGUGGGUGAAGAAGGCUUUCGGGUCGUAAAGCCCUGUCAGGUGGGAAGAACCGUUUCGAUACUAAUAAUGUCGAAGCCUGACGGUACCACCAGAGGAAGCACCGGCCAACUCCGUGCCAGCAGCCGCGGUAAUACGGAGGGUGCAAGCGUUGUUCGGAAUUAUUGGGCGUAAAGAGCGUGUAGGCGGUUCGGUAAGUCAGAUGUGAAAGCCCUGGGCUCAACCCAGGAAGUGCAUUUGAAACUACCAGACUUGAGUACGGGAGGGGAGGGGGGAAUUCCCGGUGUAGAGGUGAAAUUCGUAGAUAUCGGGAGGAAUACCAGUGGCGAAGGCGCCCCUCUGGACCGAUACUGACGCUGAGACGCGAAAGCGUG
rnacentral:rRNA from 1 species